UAACACAAUAAACUAGUCCAUAUUGUAUAAAUGAUAAAAAUGAGAAUAUUUUACACAAUACAUUACAAACAUGGCAAAAUAAUUAAGAAAAUACAAAGUUAUAGAUACAACUUAAUUUGAAGCUUAACUUUGAUUUUCCCAAAUAUUUCUCCACCUCUUUGAAUGACCCUCCUUUAUGCUCUUCAUUUCUCUUUCCAAAUGCCAAGAAAAAUUAAAGGAAGAAAAAGAAAAUAAAGAAGAAAGAAAGAAAAAGAAAACAAAAAAGAAGAAGCAGAAAAAGGGCCAGCAGAAUGAAGGAACC
rnacentral:lncRNA from 1 species